GGAGGGCCCUUCUGAAGACCACCUUUGGCCUCGUGACGAGCCUCGUGGAUCACAUUGCCCGUUGAUGACUUGAGAAAAGGACAACAACACAAAAAAGAAGCCUGGUGGAAAAGAACAGGGAGUUGUUGAAGGUGCAAGGUAAAAGGAGGAUCCCUCAGAAGGCCGCCUGAGAGCCAGGAGUCUUCCUCUGCAGUCUGAAGAGCUUGAACGUCUCCCUCGCUACAUCACAGACUUUUUGUUUAGCAUGCAGGUAAAUGUUGGUUUCUGCUGCCGAGCAAUAAGACUCCAUAUUUGCAUAUUCAUACUCGGCUUUCAUUUCACUCCAAACAAUCCUAAGCUUCAAUAUUGCCAGAGAAAGAUCAUAA